GUAACAAGGUUUCCGUAGGUGAACCUGCGGAAGGAUCAUUACCGAGUGUAGGGUUCCUAGCGAGCCCAACCUCCCACCCGUGUUUACUGUACCUUAGUUGCUUCGGCGGGCCCGCCAUUCAUGGCCGCCGGGGGCUCUCAGCCCCGGGCCCGCGCCCGCCGGAGACACCACGAACUCUGUCUGAUCUAGUGAAGUCUGAGUUGAUUGUAUCGCAAUCAGUUAAAACUUUCAACAAUGGAUCUCUUGGUUCCGGCAUCGAUGAAGAACGCAGCGAAAUGCGAUAACUAGUGUGAAUUGCAGAAUUCCGUGAAUCAUCGAGUCUUUGAACGCACAUUGCGCCCCCUGGUAUUCCGGGGGGCAUGCCUGUCCGAGCGUCAUUGCUGCCCAUCAAGCACGGCUUGUGUGUUGGGUCGUCGUCCCCUCUCCGGGGGGGACGGGCCCCAAAGGCAGCGGCGGCACCGCGUCCGAUCCUCGAGCGUAUGGGGCUUUGUCACCCGCUCUGUAGGCCCGGCCGGCGCUUGCCGAACGCAAAUCAAUCUUUUUCCAGGUUGACCUCGGAUCAGGUAGGGAUACCCGCUGAACUUAAGCAUAUCA
rnacentral:misc_RNA from 2 species